AGAGUUUGAUCCUGGCUCAGGAUGAACGCUGGCGGUAUGCUUAACACAUGCAAGUCGAACGGAGUGCUUCGGCACUUAGUGGCGGACGGGUGAGUAACGCGUGAGAAUCUGGCUUCAGGACGGGGACAACAGUGGGAAACUGCUGCUAACACCCGAUAUGCCGAGAGGUGAAAGUAUUUAUAGCCUGAAGAUGAGCUCGCGUCUGAUUAGCUAGUUGGUGGGGUAAAGGCCUACCAAGGCGACGAUCAGUAGCUGGUCUGAGAGGAUGAUCAGCCACACUGGGACUGAGACACGGCCCAGACUCCUACGGGAGGCAGCAGUGGGGAAUUUUCCGCAAUGGGGGCAACCCUGACGGAGCAAUACCGCGUGAGGGAUGAAGGCUUUUGGGUUGUAAACCUCUUUUCUCAGGGAAGAACACUGACGGUACCUGAGGAAUCAGCAUCGGCUAACUCCGUGCCAGCCGCCGCGGUAAUUC
rnacentral:rRNA from 1 species